rnacentral:rRNA from 1 species
GAUGAACGCUGGCGGUAUGCUUAACACAUGCAAGUCGAACGAAAUACGAUGGGGUUUACUCUAUCGUAUGGCAGUGGCGGACGGGUGCGUAACGCGUAAGAACUUACCUUUUGGCGAGGGACAACCGCGGGAAACUGCGGCUAAUACCUCAUAGAGCUGAGGAGCGAAAGGUGAAAACCACCAAAAGAGAGGCUUGCGUCUGAUUAGCUAGUUGGUGAGGGUAAUGGCCUCCCAAGGCGACGAUCAGUAGCUGGUCUGAGAGGAUGAUCAGCCACACUGGAACUGAGACACGGUCCAGACUCCUACGGGAGGCAGCAGUGAGGAAUUUUCCGCAAUGGGCGAAAGCCUGACGGAGCAAUACCGCGUGGAGGAGGAAGGCCCGUGGGUCGUAAACUCCUUUUCUCAGAGAAGAACACAAUGACGGUAUCUGAGGAAUAAGCAUMGGCUAACUCCGUGC